CAAGAGCGUAUGUAAAAGUUGUUGCAGUUAAAAAGCUCGUAGUUGAACCUUGGGUUUGGUUGGCCGGUCCGCUUUUUUGCGAGUACUGGAUUCAACCGAGCCUUUCCUUCUGGCUAACCAGUCGUUUCGGCGGCUGGCGAACCAGGAUUUUUACUUUGAGAAAAUUAGAGUGUUCAAAGCAGGCAUUAGCUUGAAUAUAUUAGCAUGGAAUAAUAGAAUAGGACGUUAUGGUUCUAUUUUGUUGGUUUCUAGGACCAUCGUAAUGAUUAAUAGGGACGGUCGGGGGCAUCAGUAUUCAGGUGUCAGAGGUGAAAUUCUUGGAUUUACUGAAGACUAACUACUGCGAAAGCAUUUGCCAAGGACGUUUUCAUUAA
rnacentral:rRNA from 1 species